GUGUUCCCUUCGGCAGCACAUAUACUAAGACUAGAAGGAUACAGACAAGAUUAACAUGGCCUGUGCAUAAGAAUGACACAAAUUUGUAAAGUGUUCCAUAUUGUU